UACAGAGGGGGCAAGCGUUGUUCGGAAUUACUGGGCGUAAAGGGCGCGUAGGCGGCCUGUUAAGUCGGACGUGAAAUCCCUCGGCUCAACCGGGGAACUGCGUCCGAAACUGGCGGGCUUGAAUUCGGGAGAGGGAUGUGGAAUUCCAGGUGUAGCGGUGAAAUGCGUAGAUAUCGGGAGGAACACCUAUGGCGAAGGCAGCUCGCUGGGACGUUACUGACGCUGAGGCGCGAAAGCGUGGGGAGCAAACAGG
rnacentral:rRNA from 1 species